rnacentral:rRNA from 1 species
AUGGUAAAACGAGGGCUUAGCUGUCUCCUUUUUCAUGUCAAUGAAAUUGAUCUUCCCGUGCAAAAGCGGGAAUUACCCCAUAAGACGAGAAGACCCUGUGAAGCUUUAGAUAUUAAGACAGAUCUGGUAAAAGAACCCUAAAAAGGAUUAAGCUUCUAAUUCCUGUCUUAGCGUCUUCGGUUGGGGUGACCACGGGGAGUUGCAUAACCCCCGCGUGGACUGGGUGCAAGAAUGUUUUUGCUCCUAAAGCCAAGAGCCUCCGUUCUAAUAAACAGAAUUUCUGACCUUAUAAGAUCCGGCAAUGCUGAUCAACGAACCAAGUUACUCCAGGGAUAACAGCGCCAUCCUCUUUCAGAGCCCUUAUCGACAAGGGGGUUUACGACCUCGAUGUUGGAUCAGGACAUCCUAAUGGUGCAGCCGCUAUUAAGGGUUCGUUUGUUCAACGAUUAAUAGUCCUACGUGAUCU